GACAGAGGGUGCAAACGUUGCUCGGAAUCACUGGGCGUAAAGGGCGUGUAGGCGGGAAGGUAAGUCGGGCGUGAAAUCCCUGGGCUCAACCCAGGAACUGCACUCGAAACUACUUUUCUUGAGUGCCGGAGAGGAAAGCGGAAUUCCUGGUGUAGAGGUGAAAUUCGUAGAUAUCAGGAGGAACACCAGUGGCGAAGGCGGCUUUCUGGACGGUAACUGACGCU
rnacentral:rRNA from 1 species